rnacentral:rRNA from 1 species
GAGGAAAGUGGGGGGCAUGCUUUACACAUGCAAGUCGUACGGGAAGUGGUGUUUCCCGUGGCGGACGGGUGAGUAACGCGUAAGAACCUGCCCUUGGGAGGGGAACAACAGCUGGAAACGGCUGCUAAUACCCCGUAGGCUGAGGAGCGAAAGGAGGAAUCCGCCCAAGGAGGGGCUCGCGUCUGAUUAGCUAGUUGGUGAGGUAAUAGCUUACCAAGGCCGUGAUCAGUAGCUGGUCCGAGAGGAUGAUCAGCCACACUGGGACUGAGACAAGGCCCAGACUCCUACGGGAGGCAGCAGUGGGGAAUUUUCCGCAACGGGCGAAAGCCUGACGGAGCAAUGCCGCGUGGAGGUAAAAGGCCUACGGGUCAUGAACUUCUUUUCCUGGAGAAGAAACAAUGACGGUAGCUGGGGAAUAAGCAUCGGCUAACUCUGUG